GACGAACGCUGGCGGCACGCCUAACACAUGCAAGUCGAGCGCUACCUUCGGGGUGGAGCGGCGGACGGGUUAGUAACGCGUGGGAACAUACCCUUUUCUACGGAAUAGCCUUUGGAAACGAAGAGUAAUACCGUAUACGCCCCUCGGGGGAAAGAUUUAUCGGUGAAGGAUUGGCCCGCGUUGGAUUAGAUAGUUGGUGGGGUAACGGCCUACCAAGUCGACGAUCCAUAGCUGGUUUGAGAGGAUGAUCAGCAACACUGGGACUGAGACACGGCCCAA
rnacentral:rRNA from 1 species